UCCUCACUUCGGGAUAAGCCUGGGAAACUGGGUCUAAUACCGGAUAGGACCAUGCUUUAGUGUGUGUGGUGGAAAGUUUUUCGGUGCAAGAUGAGCCCGCGGCCUAUCAGCUUGUUGGUGGGGUAAUGGCCUACCAAGGCGACGACGGGUAGCCGGCCUGAGAGGGUGUACGGCCACAUUGGGACUGGGACACGGCCCAG
rnacentral:rRNA from 1 species